rnacentral:lncRNA from 1 species
UUUGGUUGAUGUUCAAGGAAAGAAAGGUCUUAAUUUUUAUGUAUAUUGUUGAUCAUGUAUGGGAUUAUACAGGUUUACAGGUUAUAGGUCAGGCUUGCUACGGGUCCCGGCGGCCUUAAGCCGAUCUGGAUCCUAGCGCCGGUAGCGGUCCGAUUUUCGGGUCGUUACAGGGUAUGCUGACCCUAGGGGUUCUAUGAGUUUAGUCAUAGUGCAUACACAGGUCAAACUGAUUAAAGGUAAAGUUUUAAAUGUUUUAUGGAUAUGUUUGAUCAUGUUUGGGAUUAUACCAGUUGUAUAGGAUGCAUAGUAGGCUUGCUACGGGCCCCGGCGGCCUUAUGCCGAUCUGGAUUCUAGCGCCGGUAG